GCUUAACAGCUAGCCCCCAGGCCAAACCAGCCACUCAUCAUAUAACAGUUUUUAAGACCCUUAAAAUACUCAACAAACCAUUUUUCCUCCCCAGUAUGGGCGACAGAAAAGGAGAAACCAGGAGCAACAGACACAGUACCGCAAGGGAAAGCUGAAAAAGAAGUGAAAUAACUCUUGCAAGCCUAAAAAAGCAGAGUUAAACCCUCGUACCUUUUGCAUCAUGAUCAAGCCAGUACACUAAAGCAAAGAGCCCUUUAGUUUUCCACCCCGAAACUAGACGAGCUACUCCGAGGCAGCCUAUUAUAGGGCCAACCCGUCUCUGUGGCAAAAGAGUGGGAAGAACUCCGAGUAGAGGUGACAAGCCUACCGAGCCUAGUAAUAGCUGGUUGCCUAGGAAGUGGAUAGAAGUUCAGCCCCCCGGCCCUCCUCCCCCAACAUCUUUAUACUUAUUUUGGUCUUAGGGAGGCCUGGGGCGUUAGUCAAAGAAGGUUCAGCUUCUUUGAAUAUAGAUACAACUUUUAAAGGAGAAUAAAGAUCAUAAUUAAUCAAGGAGCAAUUUUUUUAGUGGGCCUAAAAGCAGCCAUCUAAACAGAAAGCGUUACAGCUCAUAAAAGGACUUCCUAAUCCUCUUAUUUUGAUAAAUAUGUCUUACUCCCCUAAAACUACUAGACCAUUUCAUGCCCCCAUGAAAGAGAACCUGCUUGAAUGAGUAAUAAGAGGGCCUGCCCCUCUCCCCGCACACGUGUAAGUCGGAUCGGACCACCCGCCGACGAUUAACGACCCCAACCCCCAGAGGGCCCUGUAUUAAAUACUUGUAAACCAGAAGAACAUUCAAGCCUCAUCGUUAACCCUACACAGGAGUGCCCCCUGGGAAAGACCCAAAGAUAAGGAAGGAACUCGGCAAACACCUUAAGCCUCGCCUGUUUACCAAAAACAUCGCCUCUUGCAAACAAACGUAUAAGAGGUCCCGCCUGCCCUGUGACUCUUGCAGUUUAACGGCCGCGGUAUUUUGACCGUGCGAAGGUAGCGCAAUCACUUGCCCUUUAAAUGGGGGCCUGUAUGAAUGGCACAACGAGGGCUUAGCUGUCUCCCCUAUCUAGUCAAUGAAAUUGAUCUCCCCGUGCAGAAGCGGGGAUUGUAACAUAAGACGAGAAGACCCUAUGGAGCUUUAGACAAUUAGACGCCCCAUAUAAAACAACAUAAUACCAAACUUAUGUCUGAAUAUAUAAUGGAAGAUACCGUUUUCAUGUCUUUGGUUGGGGCGACCACGGGGAAAAGAAAAACCCCCGCGAGGACCGAGGGACCUUCCCUUAAAUCCAAGAGCGACAGCUCAAAGAAUCAGAACCUCUGACCUUAAUGAUCCGGCUUAUUGAGCCGAUCAACGAACCGAGUUACCCUAGGGAUAACAGCGCAAUCCCCUCCCAGAGCCCAUAUCGACGAGGGGGUUUACGACCUCGAUGUUGGAUCAGGACAUCCUAAUGGUGCAGCCGCUAUUAAGGGUUCGUUUGUUCAACGAUUAAAGUCCUACGUGAUCUGAGUUCAGACCGGAGUAAUCCAGGUCAGUUUCUAUCUAUGGUUUGACCUUCUCCAGUACGAAAGGACCGAGAAGAGGGGGCCCAUGCUCUCAGUACGCCUCAUUCUCACCUGAAGUAAACAACUAAAACAGGUAACAGAACACAUUCUACUACUAAAACCCGUUAAAAAUAAUAACAU
rnacentral:rRNA from 1 species